UCUGCCCUUGUUUUUAUUUCUUUUGGGUCUACAGAUAAGAACGAAAGCCAUUAUCGUGGGUUACGUUUAAAAAGAUUACGACCUUGAUAAGAUUUAUUAUAGAGCGCUGCGGUUUCAAAAAAUCGCUCAUUUUAUUGGAAAGAUUGCGCACUGUUCACAUCGUUUUAACAUGAAGCUACAAGUGUUUGUUUUGCUCUCUCUCCUGGCCUUAGCUACCAAUGGCCUACCAGUUCAGCGAACUACUUUCGUAUUUCCCACCACAAACGCCCCCCACCACGGCACACAGUAACGACCCCACAACCUGUGUGGAGGCUGCCCUGACGGCAAGUUCUGCAUGACCAUCCACCCCACCUGCAUUUCUGGGUUCCCGUGUCAAGCUGAGCACUUCUGCAUGUGGGAGCUCUGAGUGAACAUGUGAUUACACAGUAAAAUUGUACACGAUUA